rnacentral:rRNA from 1 species
CCGACGUGAGUGAUGACGGCCUUAGGGUUGUAAAGCUCUUCAUCAGGGACGAUAAUGACGGUACCUGAAGAAGAAGCCCCGGCUUAACCUUCGUGC